UUAACUUCCCGCAUACUAAAAAACUAUAUCUCAAACGGUCUAUACGAUUCCUCAACUGCUUCAGAAAAAGUGAUUCUCUCUGUAAACGUAGCUCUUCUAUUAAACUUUACUUCGAUGACAAAUUUAAACGAUAAAAACGAAACAUGAACCUUCAUGUGAAAAAGUGAUGGUAUCUGGAAAGGUGAUACAAUAGUAAGAACGAUUCCCUUCAAUUUUUCUGUAAUCGUAAAAAUGAUCUCGAACCGUUAACCAUACCGUCCAUAACUUAUGUCAAAAAUGAGCGAAACGCCGGUCAGAGAUGCCAGACAGUUUUACAAAAAAUCAGUACGAACUUAUAAACAAAUCUCUUAUAUAAUUUUGAUAUUCUGAUACGACUCUGUAGCGUUUCAAAAACAAUAAUGGAACUUGAAGGUAUGCUCAUACAUCAUACUAAAAGAAGUUCAUUAUCGCUUUUCGCGAUGUUUUGAAUAACGUUCUAGUUGGAAAUAGAGCUUGGAGUACCGAUGGUGUUUGUGGUUUUCGUUGAUGGUUUUAUCAUCAGCAUUAGUUUUUUUUUUUUGAAAGAUUUUCAUAUUAACUACGAUUGUCUACUAAUAAUACUAAUACUAAUGAAACUGAUGAAUACCACAUACUAAUCUAAAUCUAUAGUAGAUAUAGAUGCAAAAAAAAUCAUCAAUUUGCUUUUACAUGGUGUAUGGCAAUCUCGAACAGAAACAUUGAUUUAAAUUAAACGGAAUUCCUCAUUUCAAUCAAUAAGUCAUUAAUAUCCUUCCCAUAAUCAUCCAGAUUAUCUAAAAUAUUUAACUAAAAAUAUCGCAUCUCAAUAUCUAUAAACAUAUUGAUAAAACAUUCAACCUGGCACCACUGACGCAAUCGUUUCAUUUUUGUUUUGAUGCGCCGGGAGAGUCAUUGUCGUUGCCUAAUUAAUCUAGUCACCUUCGCCGCAGACUGGUGGUCCUUUGGGGUUCUAAUGUUUGAGAUGCUGACGGGCAACCUUCCCUUCCACGGUAGCAAUCGUAACGAUACGAUGAACCAGAUCCUGAAAACCAAACUUGGGAUGCCAGAAAAUCUGAGCCCGGAGGCUCAGAGUUUGUUGCGAGCCCUGUUCAAACGCAAUCCCCAGAAACGGUUGGGAGUUGGCCCAAACGGUAUCGACGACAUCAAGCAGCACGAGUUCUUCUCCAACGUCGAUUGGGACGCGUUCGAGCGGAAGGAGGUGCGACCCCCAUUCAUUCCGGCCGUUUCCCGCGACGAUGCGUUUUAAUUUGACACGGAGUACACCAACAAAUCGGCCAAGUAUAUAGAUUCCCCCGGUGGUCCGGUUAGUGCGAGUGCCCAUGAGAUCUUCCGCGGAUUCAGUUUUAUAGCGCCCUGUUUGCUGGACGACAUUCAGAAUCAGAUGGGUCCCAGGGCACCGUUUACGAACGAAAUUCCUGGCGUCAAACCGGUCGCCUUUGCCGAUGAGUACGCAAUGAUGCAGGAGCUGGGGCGGGGAACGUUCUCCGUUUGUCGGUUGUGUGAGAAUCGUGCCACCAAGAAGCAUUACGCCGUUAAGAUAAUCGACAAAUACGGUCACGAUUGUCGAGAGGAAGUGGAAAUUCUACUGAGAACGGCAAUCAUCCGAACAUCGUGUUCAGUGUCCACGAGGACCCCACUUAUGUGUACCUGGAAUUCAAUAAAAUGAUAAAAUCAGAAAAGAUCCGCCAUUCUUAUCCGAAAAUCUCCCAUAAAAAUUUAAAAAAUUACGUCUGUGUUUGUGCUCUUUUGACGAACGAUCCCUUAAACGGUUUGAAUAACGUUGGAAUAAAGUAAAGUCAAACCGUUAGAGAACUAUUUACGUAAAUGUUUAGGCAUGGGAGCUCCUCCAAAUAACUAUAACGAUUAUAAUCCGAUGAUCAAAAUACAUUUUCCACAAACGGUUUUUCAACCUUAACUGGACUGCAUGUAGAACAGUUCUGCCAUACAAGUGUUUUAACAGUUUUUAACAAUUACAUAACCUAACGACAUAUUAGAAAUACUGUGAAUUUGGAAUUCACGAUUCAACUAAUGUAUUUCACUGCUCGAAUAAUCGUUUGCUAAAGGUUUUUUUACGCUUCAUGAAAUCGUCGUUUAACUAUUUAAGAAAUCGUUUGGUUACAAUCCUCAUCUAUGCGGGUUGCUCUUAGGGUGUUGUGGGGAACAGCCAUACAUUUUAACCUAACUACAAAACGUUAAAAAAUUUACCUGGCAGCGUGGAUCGAAGCAAUCCGUAGUUGUGACAGGACACAAACAAAAAUUUGCUUUCCGGAAAAUUGUUUGAAUUCGGCCCAAGACUUGAAAAAUCAACUGAAUACCAUGUGGAAAUAGUUUAUGUAACAAAGAUCAUAAAAUUGGUGAAACGCUUGAAGAAAUUUACGCUAUCCAAAUUUCCUGCUCAACCUUGGAAGAAUGUACUCAAUGCCGGUCUCAAGAUGGCAUCGCUAUCUCAAAUGGCCAGCUCGCCGCCAUCGCUGCAAAUGCCUUCGGUGCAGUCGUCGCCAUCGACCGGUGUCGUUAGCCUGGCCAGCUCCAAUGGCGCCGG